CCCCCCCCCCCCCCCCCCCCCCCCCCCCCCCCCCCCCCCCCCCCCCCCCCCCCCCCCCCCCCCCCCCCCCCCGUCCCAGUCUGACCAAUUUGGGACUGGGGGGAAGGAGGCUGGGAGGUCCCUGCCCCAGUUUGAGACUGGGGAAAAGGAGCCUGGAGGGUCCCUGCUUCAGUUUGGGACUGGGGGGAAGCUGAUGGAUGGGGCCCUGCCCCAGUCGGACCAGUUUGGGAUUGGAGGGAAGGAGCCUGGAGGGUCCCUGCCCCAGUUUGAGGUUCGGGCGAAGGUGGUGGAUGGAGCCCUGCCCCAGUUGGGGACUGGGAGGAAGCUGAUGGAUGGGGCCCUGUCCCAUCCCAUGUUUGGGAUUGGAGGGAAGGAGCCUGGAGGGUCCCUGCCCCAGUUUGGGACUGGGGGGAAGCAGCCUGGAGGGUUCAAGUCCCAGUCUGACCAAUUUGGGACUGGGGGGAAGGAGGCUGGGAGGUCCCUGCCCCAGUUUGAGACUGGGGAAAAGGAGCCUGGAGGGUCCCUGCUUCAGUUUGGGACUGGGGGGAAGCUGAUGGAUGGGGCCCUGCCCCAGUCGGACCAGUUUGGGAUUGGAGGGAAGGAGCCUGGAGGGUCCCUGCCCCAGUUUGGGACUGGGGGGAAGCAGCCUGGAGGGUUCAAGUCCCAGUCUGACCAAUUUGGGACUGGGGGGAAGGAGGCUGGGAGGUCCCUGCCCCAGUUUGAGACUGGGGAAAAGGAGCCUGGAGGGUCCCUGCUUCAGUUUGGGACUGGGGGGAAGCUGAUGGAUGGGGCCCUGCCCCAGUCGGACCAGUUUGGGACUGGGGGGAAGGAGCCUGGAGGGUCUCUGUACCAGUCAGACCAGUUGGGAACUGGGAGGAAGAUGAUAGGUGGGGCCCUGGGCCAGUUUAGGGCGAGGGGAAAGCAGUUUGGGAAGUCCCUGCCCCAGUUAAGGACUGGGAAGAAGGUGAUGGAUGGGACCCUGCCCCAGCUGGACCAGUUUGGGACUGGGGGGAAGGAGGAUCGGAAGAGCGGCCCCCCCCCCCCCCCCCCCCCCCCCCCCCCCCCCCCCCCCCCCCCCCCCCCCCCCCCCCCCCCCCCCCCCCCCCCCCCCCCCCCCCCCCCCCCCCCCCCCCCCCCCCCCCCCCCCCGGGAGGCGCUGCCAUCAAUCACCGCCGGCGGCUCCGGCUGCUCCCGUCACCGCGUUUUAUGGGAUCAGCGCCCCCGCGAUUUGCGGCCUCGCGUUCCGCCGGCGCCGGGGGCGUUGUUCCAACCUCCCAAUCCCAAAAAAUCCCCUUUCCCCACCCAAAAUUCAGUGGGGGCAAAUCAUCCCCCAAAAAAACAGGAGGUUUGGGAUUGGGAAAUCUGGGAUUUUGGGGGUCUGGGACUCCACGCAGGGGGUGGGGCUGCUGAUUAGGGUCGCUAUAUAGCAGAUAUAAAAAGAAGGUUUUUGGAGCCAGAAUUCCUGGGGUUUGGGUCAUAAAAUUCCCGGAUUUGGGGGCUGAAAUUCCCGGGGUUUUGGGAAAAUCAGAGAGGGGAAGGUCGCGCUGCGCUCGGGAGGAGCAGCCGGAGCUCCUGGAGCGUCCCGGAAAUGAUUACAGAUCCCAAAAGAGUCACUAGAACGCCCCGGAAAAUAAUUACAGAUCCCAAAAGUGACACUGGAACAUCCUGGAAAGUAAUUACAGAUCCCAAAGUGUCACCAGAGCAUCCCAGGAAAUAAUUAUAGAUCCCAAAACUGUCACCAAAACACCAGAAAAUAAUUACAGAUCCCAUAAGAGCCGCUGGAGCAUCCCGAAAAUAAUUACAGAUCCGAAAGUGUCACUGGAACGUCCCAAAAAUAAUUACAGAUCCCAAAAGUGACACUGGAGCGUCCCAAAAAUAAUUACAGAUUCAAAAGUGUCACCAGAGCAUCCCAGGAAAUAAUUACAGAUCCCGAAAGUGUCACCAAAACACCCCAGAAAAUAAUUACAGAUCCCAAAAGAGCCGCUGGAACAUUCUGGAAAAUGAUGACAGGUCUCAAAGUGCCGCUGGAGGCGUCGCCCGGAUUUUAAUUAAGGUGAAUUCCCUUCCCUUUUCCUUUCCCUUCCCAGGAUCCAUUUCUAUGGGAUCUGCUCCCAUGGGAUCUGUCCCUACAGGAUCCAUUUCUAUGGGAUCUGUUCCCGUGGGAUCUGUCCCUACAGGAUCCAUUUCUAUGGGAUCUGUUCCCGUGGGAUCUGUCCCUACAGGAUCCAUUUCUAUGGGAUCUGCUCCCAUGGGAUCUGUCCCUACAGGAUCCAUUUCUAUGGGAUCUGUUCCCAUGGGAUCUGUCCCUACAGGAUCCAUUUCUAUGGGAUCUGCUCCCCGUGGGAUCCAUUUCCAUAGGAACUGUUCCUGUAGGAUGUGGGGAUGCUCUUCCUUGGGAUCUGACCUUGUAGGAUCCAUUCCUGUGGGAUCAGUUCCCAUGGGAUCCGUUCCUAUAGGAUCAGUUCCCGUGGGAUGCAUUCACGUGGGAUCAGUUCCUAUGGGAUCAGUUCCUAUAGGAUCCAUUUCUAUGGAUUCAGUUCCCAUGGGAUCCGUUCCUAUAGGAUCAGUUCCCGUGGGAUGCAUUCACGUGGGAUCAGUUCCUAUGGGAUCAGUUCCUAUAGGAUCCAUUUCUAUGGAUUCAGUUCCCAUGGGAUCCGUUCCUAUAGGAUCAGUUCCCGUGGGAUGCAUUCACGUGGGAUCAGUUCCUAUGGGAUCAGUUCCUAUAGGAUCCAUUUCUAUGGAUUCAGUUCCCAUGGGAUCCGUUCCUAUAGGAUCAGUUCCCGUGGGAUGCAUUCACGUGGGAUCAGUUCCUAUGGGAUCAGUUCCUAUAGGAUCCAUUUCUAUGGAUUCAGUUCCCAUGGGAUCCGUUCCUAUAGGAUCAGUUCCCGUGGGAUGCAUUCACGUGGGAUCAGUUCCUAUGGGAUCAGUUCCUAUAGGAUCCAUUUCUAUGGAUUCAGUUCCCAUGGGAUCCGUUCCUAUAGGAUCAGUUCCCGUGGGAUGCAUUCACGUGGGAUCAGUUCCUAUGGGAUCAGUUCCUAUAGGAUCCAUUUCUAUGGAUUCAGUUCCCAUGGGAUCCGUUCCUAUAGGAUCAGUUCCCGUGGGAUGCAUUCACGUGGGAUCAGUUCCUAUGGGAUCAGUUCCUAUAGGAUCCAUUUCUAUGGAUUCAGUUCCCAUGGGAUCCGUUCCUAUAGGAUCAGUUCCUGUGGGAUC
ensembl:lncRNA